UAGUCCACGCUGUAAACGAUGAUUACUCGAUAUUGGCUUUUAGUCAGUGUCCAAGCGAAAGCGUUAAGUAAUCCACCUGGGGAGUACGUUCGCAAGAAUGGAACUCAAAGGAAUUGACGGGGGCCCGCACAAGCGGUGGAGCAUGUGGUUUAAUUCGAUGAUACGCGAGGAACCUUACCAGGGCUUAAAUGCAGAACGACAGAGGUGGAAACACCUCCUUCUUCGGACGGUCUGCAAGGUGCUGCAUGGUUGUCGUCAGCUCGUGCCGUGAGGUGUCGGGUUAAGUCCCAUAACGAGCGCAACCCCUAUUUCUAGUUGCCAGCGGAUAAUGUCGGGAACUCUAGCAAGACUGCCGGUGCAAACCGCGAGGAAGGUGGGGAUGACGUCAAAUCAUCACGGCCCUUACGUCCUGGGCCACACACGUGCUACAAUGGUAGGUACAGAGAGCAGCCACUGCGUGAGCAGGAGCGAAUCUAUAAAACCUACCUCAGUUCGGAUCGGAGU
rnacentral:rRNA from 1 species